UCACGAAUUUUUGUCCGAAAAAAAAAAAAUUAUAAAAAAGUUCUGUGACAUCGUUUCCGUCAUCAGAAAAACCAUUGACGACAACUAUCAAGCGUUGUUUUGGUCGGAUCUUCUACCGAAAGGGCAAAUCUGGCCUCUAUAAGCCAGAUCGACUUGUUGGCGGCUGGAUUUGUUACUUAACAACAACAACUAGUCACGUCGGCAGCUAGAUCCAAUUGCUGGUAGCGUCAACUAAGCUCAACGACGGUUGCAUCUAUUCACUGUCAUGGCAAGAUCGGCGCUCCAACAUCCAUUCUGAUGCUUGAUCGAUGCUCCAUUGGCGGCAAAUCAAUUUCUCGGCACCGAUCAAGGGUGGAAACUUGAUCUAAAAGGGGAAAAAAAAAAGCAAUAGAAAAGGAGUUAUUAAUUAAUAAUAAUUGAUUAAUUAUUAUGAAUAAUAAAUUAUAAUUAAUUUAGUACAAAAGCAAAAUAAGCUUUUAAAUUUAACUCAACUAUAUUUUUUAAACUAAUCAAAUAUAUUAAUAUUAAUUUUUUUAUUCCAUUCUAAUAAACUAAAUUUUUUUUUUUAUUCUCACAAAAUACUUAUUUUACACUUUUUAUUUUAUUUCUCGAAUCAAAACAUGAUG
rnacentral:lncRNA from 1 species